rnacentral:rRNA from 1 species
AACAGGAAGAAGCUUGCUUCUUUGCUGACGAGUGGCGGACGGGUGAGUAAUGUCUGGGAAACUGCCUGAUGGAGGGGGAUAACUACUGGAAACGGUAGCUAAUACCGCAUAACGUCGCAAGACCAAAGAGGGGGACCUUCGGGCCUCUUGCCAUCGGAUGUGCCCAGAUGGGAUUAGCUAGUAGGUGGGGUAACGGCUCACCUAGGCGACGAUCCCUAGCUGGUCUGAGAGGAUGACCAGACACACUGGAACUGAGACACGGUCCAGACUCCUACGGGAGGCAGCAGUGGGGAAUAUUGCACAAUGGGCGCAAGCCUGAUGCAGCCAUGCCGAGUGUAUGAAGAAGGCCUUCGGGUUGUAAAGUGCUUUCAAGCGGGGAGGAAGGGAGUAAAGUUAAUACCUUUGCUCAUUGACGUUACCCGAAGAAGAAGCACCGGCUAACUCCGUGCCAGCAGACGCGGUAAUACGGAGGGUGCAAGCGUUAAUCGGAAUUACUGGGCGUAAAGCGCACGCAGGCGGAUCGUAAGGUCAGAUGUGAAAUCCCCGGGCUCAACCUGGGAACUGCAUCUGAUACUGGCAAGCUUGAGUCUCGUAGAGGGGGGUAGAAUUCCAGGUGUAGCGGUGAAAUGCGUAGAGAUCUGGAGGAAUACCGGUGGCGAAGGCGGCCCCCUGGACGAAGACUGACGC